UACGUAGGGUGCGAGCGUUGUCCGGAAUUAUUGGGCGUAAAGAGCUCGUAGGCGGCCUAUUGCGUCUGCUGUGAAAGCCCGGGGCUUAACCCCGGGUCUGCAUUCGAUACUGGGCGGCUAGAGUCUGGUAGGGGGAUCUGGAAUUCCUGGUGUAGCGGUGGAAUGCGCAGAUAUCAGGAGGAACACCGGUGGCGAAGGCGGGAUCCUGGGCCAGUACUGACGCUGAGGAGCGAAAGCGUGGGGAGCAAACAGG
rnacentral:rRNA from 1 species